UCCGAACUCCUCUGGCGGUCGAGCCUCCGCAACACUCUCAAGUUUUGCCAACGGAUAAGCCCCCACCAGCGUUGACCGGAUUCUUCACGGCGGACGGACUCCACCCAAGCCUCCACGAUGAUCGACCACCUUCUAGACUUCGUUCGGACUCCUACGGGAGCCGGACUUCACCUUCGACUCCAAUUGCAGGUAGACUUCGUCCGGACUCC
rnacentral:lncRNA from 1 species